rnacentral:misc_RNA from 1 species
GUAUAUAUUAUAUAGGCACAACAUUCUAUUGACAUACAAUUGGGGUAAAAUGAAGCAACAUAGACCUUUUCAGGUCUACAAAAAGUGCACAGGUGGAGAUAUAAAGAUGACAAGGUGUGCACAUGCUCCCUAGAGAACCAGCAGCAACCCAUCAGGUUUAUUUCAAUAAUGAUCCUUCCGCAGGUUCACCUACGGAAA